GCACUAGUGGUAUAGUGGU
rnacentral:misc_RNA from 1 species